UGGGGGGAUAUUGCACAAUGGGGGGAACCCUGAUGCAGCAACGCCGCGUGAGGGAAGAAGGUUUUCGGAUUGUAAACCUCUGUCCAAAGGGAAGAAAAAGGAUGACGGUACCUUUGGAGGAAGCUCCGGCUAACUACGUGCCAGCAGCCGCGGUAAUACGUAGGGAGCGAGCGUUGUCCGGAAUUACUGGGUGUAAAGGGUGCGUAGGCGGCCCGGCAAGUCAGUCGUGAAAUACAUGGGCUUAACCCAUGGACUGCGAUUGAAACUGCAGGGCUUGAGUGAAGUAGAGGCAGGCGGAAUUCCCGGUGUAGCGGUGAAAUGCGUAGAGAUCGGGAGGAACACCAGUGGCGAAGGCGGCCUGCUGGGCUUUAACUGACGCUGAGGCACGAAAGCAUGGGUAGCAAACAGGAUUAGAUACCC
rnacentral:rRNA from 1 species